rnacentral:misc_RNA from 1 species
UCUCCGUUGGUGAACCAGCGGAGGGAUCAUUAUAGAGUUUUCUAAACUCCCAACCCUUUGUGAACUUACCUUUGUUGCCUCGGCAGAGCCUACCCGGUAACUGUUCGGAGAAGCUACCCUGUAGCUACCCUGUAACGGCCUACCCUGUAACGCACUGCCGGUGGACUUUUAAACUCUUGUUAUUUUAUAGUAAUCUGAGCGUCUUAUUUUAAUAAGUCAAAACUUUCAACAACGGAUCUCUUGGUUCUGGCAUCGAUGAAGAACGCAGC